AACGUACGCUGGCGGCACGCCUAACACAUGCAAGUCGAGCGGGGUAGCAAUACCUAGCGGCAGACGGGUGCGUAACAUGUGGGAAUCUGCCUUUUGGUUCGGAACAACAUGGGGAAACCUGUGCUAAUACCGGAUAAGUCCUAACGGAGAAAGUUUUAAUGCCAAAAGAUGAGCCCGCAUUUGAUUAGCUUGUUGGUGAGGUAAAAGCUCACCAAGGCUAUAAUCAAUAGCUGAUUUGAGAGGAUGAUCAGCCACACUGGGACUGAGAUACGGCCCAGACUCCUACGGGAGGCAGCAGUGGGGAAUCUUGCACAAUGGGCGAAAGCCUGAUGCAGCGAUGCCGCGUGAGUGAAGAAGGCCUUUGGGUUGUAAAGCUCUUUUGUCGGGAAAGAUAAUGACUGUACCCGAAGAAUAAGGUCCGGCUAACUUCG
rnacentral:rRNA from 1 species